AUGUUAUUACACAGAAAAAAACACUUCAGUAACCCCAUAAGGUUGUGCGGUGCAAGAAAAUCUUCACAAUGCGGGGCCUCUCAAGUUUCUCACCAUGGCAGCCUUAAUGACAAUCAUUUGCACACAACUCUUCGUCAAACAACUGAUCAAAAAGCCGACUACACGCGGACUGCAGACCUCAAAGUCCUGCUGAACAAAGGGAAGAAAGAUAUUGUAUCAUUGGGAAGUGCAUCUUCAUCUUCCUCAUGGGCACUUGGAUUUGACUCGUUUGAACAUCUUUUUCAAGUCCGUCGAGCAAAAGUACUUCCUCCGGAAUUUGUGAACAAUGGUAAUAUUGACCCUCCCGGUCUUUCUUGA
rnacentral:rRNA from 1 species